GAUUUUCCGGUUGAUCCUGCCGGACCCUACUGCUAUCGGGGUGGGACUAAGACAUGCGUGUCGAACGACCCCAAGCCAACAUGAGGUCGUGGCAUACGGCUCAGUAACACGUGGCUAACCUACCCUCGAGACAGGGACAACCCCGGGAAACUGGGGCUAAUCCCAGAUAGAUGAAGACCCCUGGAAUGGGUCCUCGUCCAAAAGGCAUCAUGGUUAUGCUCUGUGAUGUCGCUCAAGGAUGGGGCCGCGUCCGAUCAGGCUGUUGGUGAGGUAAUGGCUCACCAAACCUAUAACCGGUACGGGCCGUGGGAGCGGGAGCCCGGAGAUGGGAACUGAGACAAGGUCCCAAGCCCUACGGGGCGCAGCAGUUACGAAAACUUGUCAAUGCACGAAAGUGUGAACGGGCUACCCCGAGUGCCGUCCGCUGGGGAUGGCUUUUCUCUGCUUUAAGAAGGCAGAGGAAUAAGGCGAGGGCAAGUCUGGUGUCAGCCGCCGCGGUAAUACCAGCUCGCCGAGUGGUAGGGAUGAUUAUUGGGCCUGAAGCGUCCGUAGCUGGCCUUUCAAGUCUCUUGUUAAAUCCAGCGAUUCAAUCGUUGGACUGCAGGAGAUACUGUUAGGCUAGGAGGCGAGAGAAGCCGACGGUAUUUUCGGGGUAGGGGUAAAAUCCUAUAAUCCCGAGAAGACCACCAGUGGCGAAGGCGGUCGGCUAGCGCGCGCUCGACGGUGAGGGACGAAAGCUGGGGGAGCGAACCGGAUUAGAUACCCGGGUAGUCCCAGCUGUAAACGAUGCUAGCUAGGGUGUUGAAGCGGCCACGAGCCGCUUCAGUGCCGCAGGAAAGCCAUUAAGCUAGCCGCCUGGGGAGUACGGCCGCAAGGCUGAAACUUAAAGGAAUUGGCGGGGGAGCACCACAAGGGGUGAAGCUUGCGGUUUAAUUGGAUUCAACGCCGGAAAU
rnacentral:rRNA from 1 species